rnacentral:tRNA from 1 species
CCUGGUGGCUUAGAUGGCAAAGCAUCUGCCUGCAAUGCAGGAGACCUGGGUUCAAUCUCAGGGUCAGGA